rnacentral:rRNA from 1 species
ACGGGGCGCAGCAGGCGCGAAAACCUUACAAUGCCGGCAACGGCGAUAAGGGGACCUCGAGUGCCAGGUUACAAAUCUGGCUGUCGUAAUGCCUAAAAAGCAUUUCAUAGCAAGGGCCGGGCAAGACCGGUGCCAGCCGCCGCGGUAACACCGGCGGCUCGAGUGGUAACCGUUAUUAUUGGGUCUAAAGGGUCUGUAGCCGGCCGGAUAAGUCUCUUGAGAAAUCUGGCAGCUUAACUGUCAGGCUAUCAGGGGAUACUGUCUGGCUCGAGGCCGGGAGAGGUGAGAGGUACUUCAGGGGUAGGGGUGAAAUCUUGUAAUCCUUGAAGGACCACCAGUGGCGAAGGCGUCUCACCAGAACGGACCUGACGGCAAGGGACGAAAGCUAGGGGCACGAACCGGAUUAGAUACCCGGGUAGUCCUAGCCGUAAACGAUACUCGCUAGGUGUCGGCCACGGUGCGACCGUGGUCGGUGCCGUAGGGAAGCCGUGAAGCGAGCCACCUGGGAAGUACGGCCGCAAGGCUGAAACUUAAAGGAAUUGGCGGGGGAGCAC